ACCAUGUAUCCAGUUCAUCACUUCAGAAAUGUGCAUAGUCAUGAGAGCUAGUUCCCGUUUUCAUGCAAAGGAGGAACAUUGGAGGCCACUUGCCUACACCAGUUCUCCCAUACAAGUGUAGAUAUGAAAUACAUUUAGCAGAAACUUGCAUGUUUCAUUCACCAGGACCAUGUCUGCCCUCAACUCCCUGACACCACAUUUAGCAGUCACCCUAUUGAUUGUGAUGUCUUCCUGGACUCGCUCGCUUGCUCAAGUCACACGGAUCAAGUCUUUUCUCCAAAAGGAUAGUAACCUGUGUAAGACAUGUGUUAGACAAAAUGUUUUGCAUGCUUUUACUCACCAAAAUAGUGAUAAUUUAAACACCUAUGACAUCGCUUUUUCUCACUUGACACAUUUGCCAUUAGUUCUCACCGUGCUCUGCUUUUGCCAUUGCACACCUUCACGGCCAGACCCGGCUAAGUGCUUUUCUCUUCCAAAAGUACCCUCUCAGUCACUGGCUGGUGGGGCUUGAGUGCUUGACCCAUGAAGUCACCACAUUUUAGCCCCAUGAGUCCCCCAACUCUCAAUUCCACUCUCCAACUCUGCACCAAAUCCUUCCAGAUGAUUUGAAUCCAUCAACUCCUCCAAAUAUUUCCUCCAAACCAACACCAAGUCAGCACCCCUUCACUCCUCCGCGCCGCAGUUGGGAGAUGGAUUGGUUGGUAGUCAGCUGAUGGAAUGCGGCGGCAACAAUCCAGUAUCGAUUCCAGAAGGACAUACGAUGAUGCUAGACGAUUUGUUUUUUCUUCUUUUCCUAUUUCAUGCCAUGGAUGAUGCUUUGUGGGUUGCCACAUCAUGAUUGUAAAGUACUUACAUUGUGAUUCCAAUGUAAAGCUUCACACUUCAAAAUUAAUAGAUGUUGGUAGACGAUGGUCUCCUUAUCGUUUNNNNNNNNNNNNNNNNNNNNNNNNNNNNNNNNNNNNNNNNNNNNNNNNNNNNNNNNNNNNNNNNNNNNNNNNNNNNNNNNNNNNNNNNNNNNNNNNNNNNNNNNNNNNNNNNNNNNNNNNNNNNNNNNNNNNNNNNNNNNNNNNNNNNNNNNNNNNNNNNNNNNNNNNNNNNNNNNNNNNNNNNNNNNNNNNNNNNNNNNNNNNNNNNNNNNNNNNNNNNNNNNNNNNNNNNNNNNNNNNNNNNNNNNNNNNNNNNNNNNNNNNNNNNNNNNNNNNNNNNNNNNNNCCCCCCCUCCCCACACCCGCACACACACACAAACCUCUACUAUCAUGUGCGACUACUGUGGAGAAGCACACAGAGAGAAGUCAUGAUCUAGAUUAUGUGUGUGAGGGAAGUGGUUACAAAUUUAUUUAUUUUAUUUGUUUGAACAGUCACCGGGAUAGCUGCAAACAGAAAUGGAGUAGGCAUCUUGAUUAACAAGAGCCUUAAGUAUGGAGUGGUAGACGUCAACAGGGGUGGCGACCGGAUUAUUCUGGUCAAGCUGGUAGAUGGGAACUUAGUUCUCAAUGUUAUCAGCACAUAUGCUACAAUAAGAACACCAAGAGGGAGUUCUGGGAAGGCCCGGAGGACAUGGUUAGGAAUGUACCUAUUGGCGAGAAGCUCUUCAUAGGAGACCUCAAUGGCCAUGUGGGUACAUUUAACACAGGUUUUAAAGGGGUGCAUGGGGGCUUUGUCUAUGGUACCAAGAAUCAAGAAGGAGAAGAUGUCUUAAGCUUUGCUCUAGCCUACGACAUGAUCGUAAGUAACACCCUCUUUAAAAAGAGAGAAUCACAUCUAGUGACUUUUAGUAGUGGUCAACACUAAGAGAAGACAGGCGUGUUUGACUGGAUUGUAAGAUGAUGAUACCUAGAGUGUUGUCCCGUAGCAUAAGCUUGUGGUGGCUGACUUCCGCUUUCGGAUCUGUGUCCAGCAGGAUAAGCGCGUCAAAGUACCUACAACAAAGUGGUGGAAGCUAGGGGGGGGGACUCAGGCUUUCAAGGAGAGGGUCAUUAAGGAGGGCCCUUGGGAGGAAGGAGGAGAUACAGACAAUAUGUUGAUGAAGAUGGCGACUUGCAUUCGUAAGGUGGCUUCAGAGGAGUUAGAAGUGUCCAUGGGAAGUAGAAGCGAAGCUAAACAUACCUAGUGGUGGAACUAUGAUGUCCAGAAGGCUAUUAAGGAGAAGAAAGAUUGUUUCAAACGCCUACACCUGGAUAGGAGUGCAGACAACAUAGAGAAGUAUAAGGUGGCAAAGAAUGCCGCAAAGCAAGCUAUGAGUGAAGCAAGGGGUCGGGCAUAUGAGGACCUCUACCAGCACUUAGACACGAAGGAAGGCGAAAGGGACAUCUAUAAGAUGGCCAAGAUUCGAGAGAGAAAGACGAGGGAUGUCGUCCAAGUCAAAUGCAUCAAGGGUGGAGCAGAUCAGCUCCUGGUGAAGGACGAGGAGAUUAAGCUUAAAUGGCGGGAGUACUUCGACAAGCUAUUCAAUGGAGAGAAUGAGAGCUCUACCAUUGAACUAGACGACUCCUUUGAUGAUACUAGCAGGCGUUUUGUGCGGCGAAUCCAAGAGUCUGAGGUCAAGGAGGCUUUAAAAGGGAUGAAAGGAUGCAAGGCGAUGGGCCCUGAUUGUAUCCCCAUUGAGGUGUGGAGAGGCCUCAGAGACAUAGCGAUAGUAUGGCUAACUAAGCUUUUCAACCUCAUUUUUCGGGCAAACAAGAUGCCAAAAGAAUGGAGGCAGAGUAUAUUAGUACCAAUCUUCAAAACAAGGGGAGUGUUCAAAGUUGUACUAAUUACCGUGGAAUUAAGCUAAUGAGCCAUACAAUGAAGUUAUGGAAGAGUCAUUGAGCACCACUUCAGAAGAACGAAAAGCGUGACCAAAAAUCAAUUUUAUUUCAUGCCUGGGAGAAAGACCAUGGAAGCCAUCUUCUUGGUACGACAACUUAUGGAGAGAUAUAGGGAGCAAAAGGACCUACAUAUGGUGUUCAUUGACUUGGAGAAGACCUACAAUAAGAUACCACGGAAUGACAUGUGGUGGGCCAGAAACACAAAGUCCCAACAAAGUACAUUACCCUCAUCAAGGACAUGUACGAUAAUGUUGUGGCAAGUGUUUGGACAAGAUGACUUCCCAAUUAAAAUAGGACUGCACCAAGGGUCAGCCUUGAGCCGUUAUCUUCUUGCUUUGGUGAUGGAUGAGCUCACAAGGGAUAUACAAGGAGAUACCUCAUGAUGUAUGCUCUUUGCAGACGAUGUGGUGCUAGUCGAUGAUAGUUAGAUGGGGGUCAUUAGAAAGUUAGAUCUAUGAAGACAAACCUUGGACUCAAAAGGUUCUAGGCUUAGUAGAAGUAAAACCGAAUACAUGAGGUGCGGUUUCAGUAUUAUUAGGCACGAGGAGGAGGUUAGCCUUGAUAGGCAAGUGGUACCUCAAAAGGACACCUUUCGAUAUUUGGAGUCAAUGCUGCAAAACGAUGGUGAUACCAAUGAAGAUGUGAGUUAUGAAUCAAAGCCGAAUUGAUGAAGUGGCGCCAAACUUCUGCCGUUCUCUGACAAGAGAGUACCACAAAAGCUAUACGGCAGGUUCUAUAGGACAGCGAUUCGACCCGCAAUGUUGUAUUGUGCUGAGUGUUGCCGACUAAAAGGCGACAUGUUCAACUGUAGCGAAGAUGUGCAUGUUGAGAUGGAUGUGUAGCCACACAAGGAUCGGGUCCAGAAUGAUGAUAUACAGGAUAGAGUUGGGGUAGCACCGAUUGAAGAGAAGCAUGUCCAACAUUGUCUGAGAUGGUUUGGGCAUAUUCAGCCAUGCCUUCAGAAGGCCUUCAGAAGCUCCAGUGCAUAGAGGACAGCUAAAGCGUGAUAAUGUCAAGAGAGGUCGGGGUAGACCAAACUUGACAUGGGAGGAGUCCGUGAAGGUCUGACUGACUGGAAUAUCACCAAAGAACUAGCCAUGGACAGGGGUGCAUGGAAACUAACUAUCCAUAUGCCAGAACUAUGAGUUUGUUGCGAGAUCUAAUGGGUUUCAGCUCUACCUUACCCCAACUUGUUUGGAACUAAUGGCUUUGUUGUUGUUUUUAGAACAGUCAUCGUGGGAGAGCUCCCUACCUGAAUUUGAUCUCAUUCAAAGAAAAAAUCAAUCCGGUUUAUAAGGGCAACCAAUCAAAAACCUAAACAAGUUAACCCUGUUUAUGAGGGAAACCGGACCAAAACCGUACAAGACCAAAAUUGAGGCUAUCGUACCCCCUCGUCUCGCUCCCGUACCCCCUCGUCUCAUUCCCUCCAGGGCGAGCGGGGGGGGGGGGAGCCCCCCAACCGCCGCACCCUCCCUACCUCUCCUCCGCCUCGUCGUCCCCAGAGACGCGCGUCGGCUAGGCCCAGGCGCCGCCAGUGAUGGUGACAGUGGGGAUCUGGGCUACAACCCCGCGGUCUGGAGGGAUUGCAACGCGAGAUCGCCCUUCCGUCUUCGUCUUUCCCGGCGGUUCGGCGCUGCUCCAACGGCUUCGUAGGAAGAGCGGAUCCGGAGGGGAUCUUCCCAAUUGGCAGUGCUAAAUCCCCGGAGCAACGAUUCUGGUCAUGGCGGCGUUGUCCCCUCUGUCGGGAUGACGAGCCAGGUGGUGGGUCCUUGUGGCAGCGUCGGUGGCGGCGGAUCUUGGGAUCCCGCUCCCGAGGACGUUGCGGGACGCGCGGGACGGCCGGAGCUUCCUCCGUCAUCGACAGCGCUGGAUGCGGGAUCGCGGCGGCUAUUGCCGUUGUAUGGGCGACGACAACGGCUGACGCGACGGUGGGUGCUCCCUGUAGUGCUUGGAAUCGGGGCGGAGGCCCCUCUUCAUCGACGGCGACAGACUCCGGGGUUGUGUGGGCGAUUCAAAGUCUGGAUCUAGAGGUGGCGACGGCCUUUUCAAGGCUGUGGCGGUAUGGGACGUCCCCUCCAUCAACAGAUCGGGUUCGAUGCGGCUCGGCAGGUGACACAUGCGCCUCUUUCGGAGUUGUCGGGCAGUGCAUGUCGCCGGCGCGUGAAGCCACCGGUGGAUGCGCUACCGGCGGAUGCUACGCACGACGUCUUAUUCAGAGACGUCAAAUCAUGCCUACUACCGACAGGUGAUGCACAGUGGCUUUGGCGGAGGUGUCAUGUUUAGCCUGUUGCUGUUAGAUCGAAGGUGGUGCGACAGUAGCGGGAGGCAGGCGGUAUGGGACGUCUUUGUCUUUCGUUGUCUUCUCCAAAGGUAUCCGGAUAUCGAGGCGUCGGUAGACGGAUAAGGGCGGAUGGUACAGACGGCUUCAACGAUGAGUUUAUGCACUCCGAUGGAAGCACACAAUCUCUGAUCGGGCUAUGUCGAUGCGUGCCUGCGUUGUGUCCUUGUUGAAGGUGGUGGAUUGAAGCUUGGCUUUGGGGAUGAGAAUCCGGAGUUCAUCCUUGUGGUCGACUCGCCAUCUUCGGCGUACGUGCUACAAUUCCUUCUUGAAGGCGUAGCCUAGAAGUUGUGUAUUUUUGUUUCUGAUGUGUCUUGUAACAUAGGGUUUGUGCUUAUCUAGGGGAGUUACUGUUGCGAGGUAUACGGCCUUAGGAUUUGUUUUCCGCUUUUUUCUGGGUCAAGGUUGUUCGGGUGCUGGAUUUUGCACUAUUAAUAAUAUAUGGCUGCAUACAUCUUUCUGAUGCAGAGGCCGGGGGUUAUCCUCCUUUUCAAAAAAAACAAGGGGAAAGGAAGAAGAGAAAAAUGCACACCUAGGAGAAGGCACGACCUAGCUAGCAGACAGAAGGACCAUCACGAGGGACACGAGUAUAUGUGGGGAGCCGUCGAGGGAUCACAAUACCAAAACUUUGCAAACAGCCUAACGCACAGCACCGGCGUGCGUACCGAACCCCAGGGCGCAAUAGAGGAGCCUCCACGAUCAACGAAUGCCAUAGUUGAACAAGAACCUUGACUGCAAGCUCCGCCACAUGAAGCCGGAACGAUUAGCAAGUUCGGGAGGCAUCAUUGUGCCAUCAUUGAGCAAAGAUGAAUGGAGACCACCAUGGGAGGGUCUUGAACAUGCACAACAAGAUGACGCACCACAUGAACACCACCAAAGACAGACAAACGAGGCAGAGAUGGCAGCUCCACAGCACCAAGCGUGAUGUUGCCAGACCCCAAGACACACCACUGUCAACCCCAAGUCGGUCGCACCACCACCACCGACAUCCUCGUAGCAAGCAGCUACCCAACACAACAAUCGAGCCGACUUCUAGACGAUGCCUUCAAGACAGGCUAUGACGCAGAUUGCGCCACCAUCGGUUGUUCAGGGCAAACCUGGAACCAAGGUUUCCCCCUAAGUCGCAAAGAGGAUGGCAAAAACAACAUACAAUGACGCCUUCAAGAAGGUUCGCGGUGCCCAUGGGCGUCGUCGUCAUUUGCUCCGGUCUGAGCUUUCACCGAGUUGAGCACACACAUCCAGAGCAUCGAUUGAACUAGGUAGAUUGCUCACUUGCACCAUGACAAGCAUUGGGUCACCACAGCCUCGUCGCCACAUAUUCCCGAGUCAAACAACCGCCGGCUAGAUCCAGCCGACCAAUGCCAUGGUAGCCAGAUCUGGCAAAAGUCCAGGCCCGAGCCACCAUUGAUGCCAGAUCUAGGCGGCGGUUGGCCUAGAAGCCCUUCACCUCCGGUUGGCGAGCACAGGCCAACAACAGCCAAGCACCACAACCACCAAGUCACUAGGCAACCACCACCAACCUCCCAUCGCUCCUAAGCACUAUCCAUUGUGCGCUAGACGAUCGAAGACGUGCAGAUCUGUCCCAUCCCAGCCGCUGCCAUCCAUGCAUCCAUCCGGGCCGCUGGCAUCCUCACCGCACUUGCAUGAGGCGGGGAUAUGCAAACCACACGCGCUAACCACCAUGCACUGAAAUGCCACGAUGGGGCUCACAACAGCACCCCGCACGAUGAGCACCUGAAGGUCGUUGCACGGGCACAACUCCAUCAUGCCAACAUCGUUGUCCUCCCACCGUCCCCGGGCUCUAGUGACACGCGCGGAGGAGUGCGCCGCCGCCUGCUGUUGUGCGAGCCCCCGGUCGACGACUAGCCUCCCUGGGACUUCAGAGCCCCUCUGUCGUCGGAUUCGUGCGGGCUUUGCCCGGCGGAGGCCAUGGGGUAGCAGCGAGGGGAGUUGAAGCAAGUGAUGGGGGUCUAGCGCGGGUGGGGAUGUGCUGUCACCCGUGUCGCCCUAGGGAGGACGACGCAUGGGGCCGUCAUCGAGUCCGAGAAAAGUCCAAGGUCCAUUCCAAGUGGGUUGCGAAUUUAUGAUGCAAAUGAUGAGUCAGAGGACAUAGAAAUGGAUUGCCCGGAUGACUUUGGUUUGGUGGUAGUUCAAGGUUGUAAUAUGGACUUCUCUCAAGAUAGUUUUACUUUUCAGGUAUAAUAUUUCAUAGUUGGGUCUUCAUGUUUAACAUCUGAAUCAUAUCUGGUAAUAAUUCAUUUGUCUCGUUAUUUGCAGGUUUAGGUGAACCCCAGACUCACAUUAGCCCUAGUGCUCAAAGAAGUGAAAGGCUGAGGCUAGCUACAACAAAAUGGAUUGCUGAUGCAAUUUUGGACUGGUCAAAAAAUGAUUCUUCUCUUGGAGGUACAGCUUUGCAGAAGAAACUCGAAGAGAAGUACCAUAUCAAAGUUCCAGAUCACAGAGUGUUCUAUUGCAAGGAGAUGGAACUGGAUGGGAUAUAUGGGGAGUGGAAAGAUAGUUUCCACUUGCUAUACACACUUGAGAGUGAGAUCAGUGCUUGAUAUGGUUCAUUUCAGUGCUCUUUCUCUUGGUAUGGUUCACCACAUGCCUAUGAUUGUUCUCUCCCAAUAUAGGUUUUGUAUCGGUAUAGCUGAAGUCUGUCACUUAACUGAAGUUGCAGAGUGGUAGGUGGGCGUGUAGUCUAUGCAUUUCAUAUCAGUGGCAUUAGUUCCUUUUCAUUCUAUAGAUAGAUAGAUGGGCGGAACACUUCUUUUAGAUUCUAUUCUAGAACAAACUCUUCUGUUAGCUUUGCACUCUAGUCUUUUUGAGCAAGGAAUCAGGCUCACGAAUCAAAAGGAGGUUGCUCAGAAGAGAUAGAUGCAUCCAACCUCUAUUGUUUUUGCGUGGAAACUUUUUUGUUACGACAGUGACUAUGAAUUCCCAAUCUUCUCCAACAGAACUCCCUCACUGAGUAAGCAGUCAGCAUUCCUAGUAUGAUCCACUCAUUCUACACCAAGAGAUUGUUUGUCUCAAUGAAACCAUGUUGGAACAAUCUCUUAAGAGGGUUUAGACCACAUAUUUCUGUAGAAUCAACUGCUCAAACAGGUAAAUUUGGAAGACAAUUUCAUGGCUGCUUGUGGUAUUGAUGGCCAAAAUUGGUUGUACCCAGUAGCCUAUGGUGUUAUGGAUGCAGAAUUCACUGAGACCUGGACUUCGUUCAUAGAGAUACUACAACAAGUCACUGGUCGUCUAGCUGAUCUAGUCAUUCACACAUAUGGAUGCAAGAGGCUGAAGAGUGCAUCCAAUAGCGUCUUUGUCGGAGUGCAGCACAAAGAGUGCAUGAGGCACCUCUCUACUUAUGUUUUGAAGAAGUCCAAAGGGCCUUUGUUUGAUGAUAACUUAUGAGACAAAUUAGUGGUCAUACUUAACUUCCUAUGAUACAUGCUUGAUUUUGCAGUGCACAUACUUAACUCCCUAUAAAGCAUAUUGGCUACAUUGAGAAAAUAUGUGCAAAACCUAAAGUGAAGAAAUACUUAGAUGAACACCACUCAAAAUUAUGGCAGAAGGUCAAUACAUUCUAGGAGAGUUCUUCAACAGUAAGGUCAGGGAAUUAGAAGGCCUGCCCAUUCUUGAUUCUUUGGAUGCCACUAGGCAGCAAUUAAUGGAGAAAAUUGACCGCAUGCAAGGAUUGCAACCAAGAAAUUUGAAGAUCAUACAAUUCUCCCAUCGGUUUAGAAGGACCUUAAUCAAAAGAAGUACAAGUCUAAAGCUAAAGAUUGGUCAGAAGCAAAAGUUUGGAGGCAGAAGCAUAUGCAAUAUAUACUAUUGCCAUGUAAAAAUGUUGGUUCCAGAUGUGUAACUGCGAGCAUGUAGUUGUAAUGUUCUUUUAAACUUAUAAUGACAAUUAUGCAGUUCUGAUGCUUUUGGAACACUUGCAAUGUCAAUUAUGCAGUUCUGAUGCUUUUGGAACACUUGCAAUGUCAAUUAUGCAGUCCUCAUAUGAUGCUUUGGAAAAAAUUGUAAUGACAGUUACAGAGUCCUGAUGCUUUUGAAAGUAGAGACUUGUGAGACCUGAUGCUUGAAAUGGCAAGUGCUCAUACCUGCAUCUUUGACGUGAGGUGUGUGCACUGAGAUGGUUUUUGUGUGCUACGUCUGCCUAAGGGUAUUUUUCAUCUUUACACAAUGCCCAACUACAUGAUGAUGUCAAAGAGAGGUCGGGGUAGACCGAACUUGACAUGGGAGGAGUCCGUAAAGAGAGAUCUGAAGGACUGGAGUAUCACCAAAGAACUAGCCAUGGACACGGAUGCGUGGAAGCUUGCUAUCCAUGUGCCACAACCAUGAGUUGGUUGUGAGAUCUUAUGGGUUUCAGCUCUAGCCUACCCCAACUUGUUUGGGACUAUAUAAACAUAAAAAGAAAAAGGUUUUGUUGUUGUUGUUGACACAACGCCCAACUACAUCAAAUUAGGGCUGACCGAACAGUGACGACAUGUGGUGCCAAAAGUAGGGCACAUGGCGGGAGUAACUGAUGGCAAAUGUAUAUUCCAAGAAAAUGGCAUAAUGCAUGUCUUGAGCGGAGAUUAGUGGCACAAAUGUGAAUUUCCCACUACAAAACGAAGGAACUUGGUUGGCGAAAGAUGCAUACCUCCUCUCACAAUGACUUCUGCGUCAUCAAAUACUUUUACAGUUAAUGUUUUACUUCUCCAAAGACUUAUGCGAAUAUGAAAUACCCGAACCUAUACAGUAAAAAAUUGCAUAUUCUUAGUGCUAACAUACGCCACAAACAGAAGAGAUCAAACAAAAAAACAUAAUUGAGACAUACAGGUAAACUCACCUCAAUAUCCACCUCAGAAUUA
rnacentral:lncRNA from 1 species